AGUAUUCAAUAGAACCUAUCAAAACAGCACCAAAAGAAAAAUCUGUUUUUGAAACCUGUUACAUAUCGAGGCGAAAAAUAAGUAUUCAACUGUAACUAUCAAAAUAGCACCAUCGAAAUCGAUUUCUGAAAUGAGGUUGUUCUUCAUCUAAAGAAAACGACAUAGAGAAAGGGAGAGGAGGUGGAUUCCAACAAUCUCGAGAUAAUUUGGGGAUUUUUCAGUUAGGCAAAGGGCUUCAAUCAGAGAUUGUUACUCAUCUAAUCAGAGUCCAAUGCUUUAUUUUGAUCUAAAAAACAGAUCAUAAUUAAGGUGGUAAGUGGUGAGCAAGUAACUCAGGAAGAUCAGAAAUGAGUCCUUCUCCAACUCUGCUCAAUCCAAGCAAUUAACACACAAGGAAAAAGCUUUAAAGUUCAAAGAUUGAUGAUUCAAUGCACCAUAUAAAGACUAAAAUGAAAAUGUUAUUUAUACUGAUUUUCGACUUUUGGAUUGCAAAAAUAGGAACCAGGCUGAACAAUAUCAUAAAUUGUUCAAGUGCUUAAAAGAGUAUUCGAUGGAGUAUCUGGGUUGUUGAAGUGGGCGAAAAACCUUUAAGGCAUCGAGAUUCUGAAAUGUGGCAGAAUUGUAGGCGAUUUGCCAGCAAAGGUUGAUCUUAGGAUGGCUGGCAACCAACCUGUUAAAUGAAUGACCUAUGUUUGUCAUUUGAAGUUAUUUGGGUUGUCUUCAACCUUCCUCCCAAAUUUGAGCCUACAUUACUAGAAGAUUGUGAGAGGUUUUCUAUUGCUUUUUUUGGAUGUUACAUAGAACCUUAUACAAUCAAUUGGAUGCUCUUUAUUAAGAAGGUUGUCUCUGUUUACUGUUAUGUUUCUCUCAUUAAGAAAGAAAGACAGUAUAUAAAGGACACAAAUCAAAAGAGGUGUAAAUUUUAUUUUGUUCUUAUUUAAUAAACAACGGAAAAAGGAAAGAAGAGAAAGCAAGUCUUUAUAUUUCAAGCAUCUUUAAAUUUUUGCUAUUUGUGCACUCUGAGUUUAAACUUAUUAUAUUCUACAAAUUCUUCUACUUCA